UCCCUGUGGUUCAGAUGGUAUAGAAUCUGCCUGCAAUGCAGGAGACCUGGGUUCGAUCCCUGGAUUGGGAU
rnacentral:tRNA from 1 species